UCUGCCUCCUGUCCUAAUGAAUCCAGCUCUGCUAUUUAUAGGAUGCAAUUUGUCUGAAUUAUUAUACAUUUCCUUCCAGUGUUGCAUGGAGGCCUUGCACAUUUUUCCAUGAAGCGCUUCUAGCACGUUCCUGGGAAGCACAGCUGGUCUCACCUCCAUUAAGCACCUGCUUCUUUUCAAAACUGAUUUCCUUAAUUUCGAGAUCAUCUUAAUUAUUUUUUCAGAGCACACACUGGAGUCUCUGAGCUGUGAGCUACAUAUCAAAUGCAAACCAUUUGGAGUGACAGGUCCCCCUUUCCCACCACCAGCUUACCAUGGUGUUUGCAAGCUCCCAGAAUUCAGCCCAGGCCCUGCAUCACCACUGCAACAUCUCAAAGUGGGACUUGGUUCAAAAUCCUGGUUCACAUACGUUGCCUCGUGUGCUUUCUCGUUUUAUUACUCAAUGUGAAAAGUAGCCCCGAACGGGGAGCGGGCAACAUGCAUCUGCAAGGAAUGCAGGCUUCCAAUUUCCUAAGUGUUUAAAGGUCACUGGGGACACUCCAGGUAAGGCAGAUCCUUUCUAGACCUUCUUCUUGCUCCCUCACACUCUGAAUAAGUCUUUGGAAAUGUUUUUCUUGCUCAUUAUUUUUAAGCUCUCAGCAGGAUAAGAUGCAAUUAUAUGCUCAAUCGUGAUUACAGAUUUGCUGGUUGUGAUUUCAGAAGUCGCAAAACAAAACUCAUUAGAUUAAAUGUUCUUUCUGGCUUUGUACAAGGGACAAAAAGAAAUGACAUCUCUAAAUGGAGUGGGCUUGCUAGCAUGAGCAAGCUAAGAUACUGCUUCAGGAAUCAGGAAAUCUCAUCUCUGUUCCCAGCUGUGCCACUGAAAUGCCCUCUAACUGCACAACUCACCUCAGCAGUGGUGCCCCCUCUCCCCUCCCACAUGAGUUCAGUCUUGCUCAUCUAGGGCCCCCCUGCACAAGUGCACCAUCACAGUGUGCUGGUCCUUGCACUUUACUGAGGCUAUUGGUAAAAAAACCCACAAAUUUGCUCUAGACAUCUCCGACAAAAGCAACCUGAUUUUUAAUAAAGAGAUGGCAAGGUGUACAAAAUACGAAUGAACUGGACACCAAGUGCAAGGACUGCUCUCCACAUUGCUUCCUUCUAGAUCUGCCUGAAUCAGAGUCUAUUCCUGCACAGACAAAUAACAUUUCAUGCUAUUACAGACUUCCAAUUUUCCCUGUGAUCAAGACACAGAAAAUUCAGGGCUGAAACUAAUGGUCUGUGAGGCCGAAAUAAAAACGCUUUUUCUACCACAUACUGAUCAACAUUCUCACUGAUCAUCUGGAAAUGCCUGGGUCAGCAAUCAAGCUCUCAGUGGGUUCAGAGCAAACAGCAGUUGGAUUGACACUGCUUUCUAAACCAUGCAGAGGUAAGGUUCCCCCCGCCUCCAGUUGACAGGUAAAUUUAAGUGACUGCUUUACCAUGUAAAAUGCCUGCCUCUCAGUUCAAGGUCAUUUUUCUUCAAUCCACAGUUAGAGGUAUAUGGCACAUUAAGUCCUAUAAUUCCCCUGUCAUGGUGGAGAAGGGAGGGGCCAGAGCUUUUAAGCCUGAGCAGAGCACUUGGGGUUACAGAAAUAAA